UACGGAGGGGGCUAGCGUUGUUCGGAAUUACUGGGCGUAAAGCGCACGUAGGCGGCUUUUUAAGUCAGAGGUGAAAGCCCGGGGCUCAACCCCGGAAUUGCCUUUGAGACUGGAUCGCUUGAAUCAUGGAGAGGUCAGUGGAAUUCCGGAGUGUAGAGGUGAAAUUCGUAGAUAUUCGGAAGAACACCAGUGGCGAAGGCGGCUGACUGGACAUGUAUUGACGCUGAGGUGCGAAAGCGUGGGGAGCGAACAGG
rnacentral:rRNA from 1 species